rnacentral:rRNA from 1 species
UACGUAGGGGGCAAGCGUUGUCCGGAAUCAUUGGGCGUAAAGCGCGUGUAGGCGGCUCGGUAAGUCUGCUGUGAAAGUCCAGGGCUCAACCCUGGGAUGCCGGUGGAUACUGUCGAGCUCGAGUCCGGAAGAGGCGAGUGGAAUUCCUGGUGUAGCGGUGAAAUGCGCAGAUAUCAGGAGGAACACCAAUGGCGAAGGCAGCUCGCUGGGACGUGACUGACGCUGAGACGCGAAAGCGUGGGGAGCAAGCAGG